GACGAACGCUGGCGGCGUGCCUAAUACAUGCAAGUAGGACGCAGUUGCGAACGGGUGAGUAACGCGUAGGUAACUACCUAUUAGAGGGGGAUAACUAUUUGAAACGAUAGCUAAUACCGCAUCCUCGUAGAUGGCCCUGCGUUGUUUUAGGUAGUAGGUAGGGUAAUGGCCUACCUAGGCAACGAUACAUAGUCGACCGGAGAAGGGGAACGGCCACAACGGGACUGAGAAACGGCCCAGACUCCUACGGUAGGCAGCAGUAGGGAAUCUUCGGCAAUGGGGGGAACCCUUACCGAGCAACGCCGCAGGAGUGAAGAAGGUUUUCGGAUCGUAAAGCUCUGUUGUUAAGGAAGCGGUACUUAACCAGAAAGGGACGGCUAACUACGUGCCAGCCGCCGCGGUAAUUC
rnacentral:rRNA from 1 species